UUUAUGGAGAGUUUGAUCCUGGCUCAGGAUGAACGCUGGCGGCGUGCCUAAUACAUGCAAGUCGAGCGAACAGAUAAGGAGCUUGCUCCUUUGACGUUAGCGGCGGACGGGUGAGUAACACGUGGGUAACCUACCUAUAAGACUGGAAUAACUCCGGGAAACCGGGGCUAAUGCCGGAUAACAUGUUGAACCGCAUGGUUCUACAGUGAAAGACGGUCUUGCUGUCACUUAUAGAUGGACCCGCGCCGUAUUAGCUAGUUGGUGGGGUAACGGCCUACCAAGGCGACGAUACGUAGCCGACCUGAGAGGGUGAUCGGCCACACUGGAACUGAGACACGGUCCAGACUCCUACGGGAGGCAGCAGUAGGGAAUCUUCCGCAAUGGGCGAAAGCCUGACGGAGCAACGCCGCGUGAGUGAUGAAGGUCUUCGGAUCGUAAAGCUCUGUUGUUAGGGAAGAACAAAUGUGUAAGUAACUGUGCACAUCUUGACGGUACCUAACCAGAAAGCCACGGCUAACUACGUGCCAGCAGCCGCGGUAAUACGUAGGUGGCAAGCGUUAUCCGGAAUUAUUGGGCGUAAAGCGCGCGUAGGCGGUUUUUUAAGUCUGAUGUGAAAGCCCACGGCUCAACCGUGGAGGGUCAUUGGAAACUGGAAAACUUGAGUGCAGAAGAGGAAAGUGGAAUUCCAUGUGUAGCGGUGAAAUGCGCAGAGAUAUGGAGGAACACCAGUGGCGAAGGCGGCUUUCUGGUCUGCAACUGACGCUGAUGUGCGAAAGCGUGGGGAUCAAACAGGAUUAGAUACCCUGGUAGUCCACGCCGUAAACGAUGAGUGCUAAGUGUUAGGGGGUUUCCGCCCCUUAGUGCUGCAGCUAACGCAUUAAGCACUCCGCCUGGGGAGUACGGUCGCAAGACUGAAACUCAAAGGAAUUGACGGGGACCCGCACAAGCGGUGGAGCAUGUGGUUUAAUUCGAAGCAACGCGAAGAACCUUACCAAAUCUUGACAUCCUUUGACCGCUCUAGAGAUAGAGUUUUCCUCUUCGGAGGACAAAGUGACAGGUGGUGCAUGGUUGUCGUCAGCUCGUGUCGUGAGAUGUUGGGUUAAGUCCCGCAACGAGCGCAACCCUUGAAC
rnacentral:rRNA from 1 species